rnacentral:rRNA from 1 species
AGCGUACACGGUGGAUGCCCUGGCAGUCAGAGGCGAUGAAGGACGUGCUAAUCUGCGAUAAGCGCCGGUAAGGUGAUAUGAACCGUUAUAACCGGCGAUUUCCGAAUGGGGAAACCCAGUGUGACUCGUCACACUAUCAUUAACUGAAUCCAUAGGUUAAUGAGGCGAACCGGGGGAACUGAAACAUCUAAGUACCCCGAGGAAAAGAAAUCAACCGAGAUUCCCCCAGUAGCGGCGAGCGAACGGGGAGGAGCCCAGAGCCUGAAUCAGCAUGUGUGUUAGUGGAAGCGUCUGGAAAGGCGCGCGAUACAGGGUGACAGCCCCGUACACAAAAGCGCAUGUGCUGUGAGCUCGAUGAGUAGGGCGGGACACGUGGUAUCCUGUCUGAAUAUGGGGGGACCAUCCUCCAAGGCUAAAUACUCCUGACUGACCGAUAGUGAACCAGUACCGUGAGGGAAAGGCGAAAAGAACCCCGGCGAGGGGAGUGAAAAAGAACCUGAAACCGUGUACGUACAAGCAGUGGGAGCCCCACCACUAAGCCAGUGGUGAACUCCACAUACGCAUCCUUUGCUGAGGAUACGGUUAACGGAGCGAAAGCGACGUUCAACCGCAAAAAAAGAAGCAGAGGGGGCUUAGUGGUGGGGUGACUGCGUACCUUUUGUAUAAUGGGUCAGCGACUUAUAUUCUGUAGCAAGGUUAACCGCAUAGGGGAGCCGGAGGGAAACCGAGUCUUAAUUGGGCGUUAAGUUGCAGGGUAUAGACCCGAAACCCGGUGAUCUAGCCAUGGGCAGGUUGAAGGUUGGGUAACACUAACUGGAGGACCGAACCGACUAAUGUUGAAAAAUUAGCGGAUGACCUGUGGCUGGGGGUGAAAGGCCAAUCAAACCGGGAGAUAGCUGGUUCUCCCCGAAAGCUAUUUAGGUAGCGCCUCGUGAAUUCAUCUCCGGGGGUAGAGCACUGUUUCGGCUAGGGGGCCAUCCCGGCUUACCAACCCGAUGCAAACUGCGAAUACCGGAGAAUGUUAUCACGGGAGACACACGGCGGGUGCUAACGUCCGUCGUGAAGAGGGAAACAACCCAGACCGCCAGCUAAGGUCCCAAAGUCAUGGUUAAGUGGGAAACGAUGUGGGAAGGCCCAGACAGCCAGGAUGUUGGCUUAGAAGCAGCCAUCAUUUAAAGAAAGCGUAAUAGCUCACUGGUCGAGUCGGCCUGCGCGGAAGAUGUAACGGGGCUAAACCAUGCACCGAAGCUGCGGCAGCGACGCUGAUGCGUUGUUGGGUAGGGGAGCGUUCUGUAAGCCUGCGAAGGUGUGUCGUGAGGCAUGCUGGAGGUAUCAGAAGUGCGAAUGCUGACAUAAGUAACGAUAAAGCGGGUGAAAAGCCCGCUCGCCGGAAGACCAAGGGUUCCUGUCCAACGUUAAUCGGGGCAGGGUGAGUCGACCCCUAAGGCGAGGCCGAAAGGCGUAGUCGAUGGGAAACGGGUUAAUAUUCCCGUACUUGGUGUUACUGCGAAGGGGGGACGGAGAAGGCUAUGUUGGCCGGGCGACGGUUGUCCCGGUUUAAGCGUGUAGGUGUGUGUUCCAGGUAAAUCCGGUUCACUUUAACACUGAGGCGUGAUGACGAGGCACUACGGUGCUGAAGCAACAAAUGCCCUGCUUCCAGGAAAAGCCUCUAAGCAUCAGGUAACAUCAAAUCGUACCCCAAACCGACACAGGUGGUCAGGUAGAGAAUACCAAGGCGCUUGAGAGAACUCGGGUGAAGGAACUAGGCAAAAUGGUGCCGUAACUUCGGGAGAAGGCACGCUGACACGUAGGUGAAGUGAUUUACUCAUGGAGCUGAAGUCAGUCGAAGAUACCAGCUGGCUGCAACUGUUUAUUAAAAACACAGCACUGUGCAAACACGAAAGUGGACGUAUACGGUGUGACGCCUGCCCGGUGCCGGAAGGUUAAUUGAUGGGGUCAGCGCAAGCGAAGCUCCUGAUCGAAGCCCCGGUAAACGGCGGCCGUAACUAUAACGGUCCUAAGGUAGCGAAAUUCCUUGUCGGGUAAGUUCCGACCUGCACGAAUGGCGUAAUGAUGGCCAGGCUGUCUCCACCCGAGACUCAGUGAAAUUGAACUCGCUGUGAAGAUGCAGUGUACCCGCGGCAAGACGGAAAGACCCCGUGAACCUUUACUAUAGCUUGACACUGAACAUUGAGCCUUGAUGUGUAGGAUAGGUGGGAGGCUUUGAAGUGUGGACGCCAGUCUGCAUGGAGCCGGCCUUGAAAUACCACCCUUUAAUGUUUGAUGUUCUAACGUGGACCCGUGAUCCGGGUUGCGGACAGUGUCUGGUGGGUAGUUUGACUGGGGCGGUCUCCUCCUAAAGAGUAACGGAGGAGCACGAAGGUUGGCUAAUCCUGGUCGGACAUCAGGAGGUUAGUGCAAUGGCAUAAGCCAGCUUGACUGCGAGCGUGACGGCGCGAGCAGGUGCGAAAGCAGGUCAUAGUGAUCCGGUGGUUCUGAAUGGAAGGGCCAUCGCUCAACGGAUAAAAGGUACUCCGGGGAUAACAGGCUGAUACCGCCCAAGAGUUCAUAUCGACGGCGGUGUUUGGCACCUCGAUGUCGGCUCAUCACAUCCUGGGGCUGAAGUAGGUCCCAAGGGUAUGGCUGUUCGCCAUUUAAAGUGGUACGCGAGCUGGGUUUAGAACGUCGUGAGACAGUUCGGUCCCUAUCUGCCGUGGGCGCUGGAGAACUGAGGGGGGCUGCUCCUAGUACGAGAGGACCGGAGUGGACGCAUCACUGGUGUUCGGGUUGUCAUGCCAAUGGCACUGCCCGGUAGCUAAAUGCGGAAGAGAUAAGUGCUGAAAGCAUCUAAGCACGAAACUUGCCCCGAGAUGAGUUCU